UUUGAUUCAGGUGUGUUGAGGGGGUGGGCAAAGAUUCCCAAAGAUGAAGGAGGUGAAGAGUAGACAGCUGGACAAGAACAAGGUCAGGAAGGCUUAAAGAGCACCAGCCAGGACAGAACCAGGCUUCGCCAGUCUAUAAAGUCAUUUGCGGUCUCUGCUCUUGCUGCCACCUCCCCGGCAGACAACUGUAUAAAAGACUGUGGAAGCUAUCACUGUGUCAUAAAAUAUCCUUAGCAAUGUCGUGCACACCCCAGAAGACCUCAACCCAUCCAGCAGAUGACUGGGCUGACUUUGACCCUUCUUGUAACUGUUGUGACUGUUUUUUGUUCCAGUUUAUUAUUAAGAAGAUGGCUCAGGAUUCUGUAUCUGUCCACCACCUCGAUGUCCAGACCGUGUUCACCUGUGCAAUCAGUGUUGGCUUUCUCGUCAAGCCAACCAACAUCAACUGAUGCAGGGGGUUGAGUUCACACCACAUGACAAAGUCAGUGAUGAUCUUGUCAUCCCAGCUCUCAUACCUGACAAGCUCUCCUAGGUGAAUGUGCUUGCU